rnacentral:rRNA from 1 species
AACGUAGGUUCCGAGCGUUAUCCGGAUUUACUGGGCGUAAAGCGCGUUCAGGCGGUUCGGCAAGUCGGGCAUGAAAUCUCUCGGCUCAACCGGGAGAGGUUGUCCGAUACUGAUCGUCUCGAGGGAGGCAGGGGCAUGCGGAACUUCCGGUGGAGCGGUGAAAUGCGUAGAUAUCGGAAGGAACGCCGGUGGCGAAAGCGGCGUGCUGGACCUCUUCUGACGCUGAGGCGCGAAAGCCAGGGGAGCGAACGGG